CAAAGGCUUGGUCCUGGCCUUGUUAUCAGUUGUCUCUUAACUUACACAUGCAAGUCUCAGCACACCCGUGAGGACGCCCUUUACCCCUUCUUUAGGCUAAGGAGCUGGUAUCAGGCACACCAACCUGCCCACAACACCUAGUCCCACCACGCCCCCAAGGGUAUUCAGCAGUGAUAAAUCUUGACCAUAAGCGCCAGCUUGAAUCAGUUAAAGAGAAGAGAGCCGGCCAACAUGGUGCCAGCCGCCGCGGCUAGACCAAUGGGCUCAAAUUGAUAACAUUCGGCGUUAAGCGUGAUUAAGGCUAACCCAUAAUUAGAGUGAAACUUAUACUAAGCCGUGAAAAAGCACACAAUAAGGAACCCCAAAAACGAAAGUUACUCUAAUCUUGCUUGAACACACGACAGCUAGAGAACAAACUGGGAUUAGAUACCCCACUAUGUCUAGCCGUAAAAUAUCAACUCACACCUAAAGCGCCCGGGAAUUACGAGCAAUGCUUAAAACCCAAAGGACUUGACGGUGUCCCAGCCAACUAGAGGAGCCUGUUCUAUAAUCGAUGACCCGCGUUUCACCUCACCCCCCCUUGCCCCCACAGUCUGUAUACCUCCGUCGCAAGCCCGCCACUUGAGUGACCCUCAGCGGGCUCAACGGCCCUAUCGCCAAUACGUCAGGUCAAGGUGCAGCCCACGGGGGGGAAAGUAAUGGGCUACAAUUUCUAAUUUAGAACAAACGAAAUACUGCAUGAAACACAGUCAUGAAGGAGGAUUUAGUAGUAAAAAGAAAAUAGCACAUUCUUUUUAACACGGCCCUGGGACGUGUACACACCGCCCGUCACCCUCUUCGACAACCCUAACUUGCUACCUAACCCAUCCCCCCCCACCAGAGAAGAGGUAAGUCGUAACAUGGUAAGUGUACCGGAAGGUGCACUUGGUAAA
rnacentral:ncRNA from 1 species